UCUAAAUCAGGGCUCUCCAACCCUGUUCCUGGAGAGUUACUGUCCACUGGGUUUCUAUCCAACCCUGUUCCCGGAGAGCUACUGUCCACUGGGUUUCUCUCCAACUCUGUUCCUGGAGAGCUACUGUCCACUGGGUUUCUCUCCAACUCUGUUCCUGGAGAGCUACUGUCCAGUGGGUUUCUCUCCAACCCUGUUCCUGAAGAGCUACUGUCCACUGGGUUUCUCUCCAACUCUGUUCCUGGAGAGCUACUGUCCAGUGGGUUUCUCUUCAACCCUGUUCCUGAAGAGCUACUCUCCAGUAGGUUUCUCUCCAACCCUGUUCCUGAAGAGCUACUGUCCACUGGGUUUCUCUCCAACCCUGUUCCUGAAGAGCUACUGUCCAGUGGGUUUCUCUCCAAACCUGUUCCUGGAGAGCUACUGUCCACUGGGCUUCUCUCCAACCCUGUUCCUGGAGAGCUACUGUCCAGUGGGUUUCUCUCCAACCCUGUUCCUGGAGAGCUACUGUCCACUGGGUUUCUCUCCAACCCUGUUCCUGGAGAGCUACUCUCCACUGGGUUUCUAUCCAACCCUGUUCCCGGAGAGCUACUGUCCACUGGGUUUCUCUCCAACCCUGUUCCCGGAGAGCUACUGUCCACUGGGUAUCUCUCCAACCCUGUUCCUGGAGUGCUACUCUCCAGUGGGUUUCUCUCCAACCCUGUUCCUGAAGAGCUACUGUCCAGUGGGUUUCUCUCCAACCCUGUUCCUGGAGAGCUACUGUCCACUGGGCUUCUCUCCAACCCUGUUCCUGGAGAGCUACUGUCCAGUGGGUUUCUCUCCAACCCUGUUCCUGGAGAGCUACUGUCCAGCGGGUUUCUCUCCAACCCUGUUCCUGAAGAGCUACUGUCCACUGGGUAUCUCUCCAACCCUGUUCCUGGAGUGCUACUCUCCAGUGGGUUUCUCUCCAACCCUGUUCCUGGAGAGCUACUCUCCAGUGGGUUUCUCUCCAACCCUGUUCCUGGAGAGCUACUCUCCAGUGGGUUUCUCUCCAACCCUGUUCCUGGAGAGCUACUCUCCAGUAGGUUUCUCUGCAACCCUGUUCCUGGAGAGCUACUCUCCAGUGGGUUUCUCUGCAACCCUGUUCCUGGAGAGCUACUGUCCAGUAGGUUUCUCUGCAACCCUAAUCUAGUACACGUGAUCCUAAUAAUUAUCUGGUUGAUAAGGGGAAUCCAGUUAGGUUCCCACAAACCCGUUUUAACUAUCGGAGGGUAG
rnacentral:lncRNA from 8 species